GACGUAGGGGGCCAGCGUUGUUCGGAAUUACUGGGUGUAAAGGGUUCGUAGGCGGUGCGGCAAGUCGGGAGUGAAAUCUCUGGGCUUAACCCAGAGGCUGCUUCCGAAACUGCUGUGCUUGAGUGUGGGAGAGGCGCGUGGAAUUGCAGGUGUAGCGGUGAAAUGCGCAGAUAUCAGGAAGAACACCCGUGGCGAAGGCGGCUCUCUGGGACGGUACUGACGCUGAGACGCGAAAGCGUGGGGAGCGAACAGG
rnacentral:rRNA from 1 species